CUUGGUCAUUUAGAGGAAGUAAAAGUCGUAACAAGGUUUCCGUAGGUGAACCUGCGGAAGGAUCAUUAACAUGAAAUUUCUUUUAAAUCAUUGUGAAUUGUUCUUUGGGGUUAUUUUGGAUUGGGAUUGGUUUUAGGAAGGGGUUUUUAGGCCUUUUUUUUAGGAUUGAUUUUGGUGCCUUGUAGCUUAACAAAGGAAUAUUUAAUUUAUUUCCAAAAGAUUUUUUGCAGUCAAAAGCAAUAACAAAAAAAAUAUAACUUUUAACAAUGGAUCUCUUGGCUCUUACAACGAUGAAGAACGCAGUGAAAUGCGAUAAUUAAUGUGAAUUGCAUUAUCUCGUGAAUCAUCAAGUUUUUGAACGCAUCUUGCACUUUUUCCUUUUAAGAAAAAGUAUACUUGUUUGAGUAUUAUUAAAGACAUAAACCAUAGGGUUUGAAUUGAGAGUUACUCUUCAAGGGUAUCUUUUUAAAAACAUGGUUUGGAUUAAUUAUUGAUUAGCAAUAACCAAAUAAUUGAGCCUCCAAAGAAUUAGGGAUUUUUAAUAAUCAACCCCCCGAUUUAUAAUCUCAAAUCAAGUAAGAUUACCCGCUGGACUUAAGCAUAUCAAUAAGCGGUGGAAAAGAAACUAACAAGGAUUCCCUUAGUAACGGCGAGUGAAGUGGGAUGAGCUCAAUUUUAAAAUCUAUUUUCAUAAUAGAAUUGUAGUUUAUAGAGGUGUUUUCAAGGUUGAUUUUUGAAGAUUAAAAAGUUUACUGGAAAAUAAUACCAUAGAAGGUGAUAGUCCUGUAGUUAAUUUUCAAAUCAAACAUAUGAUACAUUUUCAAAGAGUCAGGUUGUUUGGGAAUGCAGCCUAAAGUUGGUGGUAAAAUCCAUCUAAAGCUAAAUAUUGGUAAGAGACCGAUAGCGAACAAGUACCGUGAGGGAAAGAUGAAAAGGACUUUGAAAAGAGAGUUAAAUAGAACGUGAAAUUGUUAAAAGGGAAACGAUUAGAAUCAGUAUUUAGAGUUGAAAUUUAUUUUCAAUUCUAGAAUCAACUUUAUAUUUGGUUUUUAAAAUGGGAUUCAAAGGGUUAUAAUUUUGUUAUUAUUCCGUUGGAAAGCUUUUAAAGGGUCUUGAGUAUGAGAGUUGAUGAAAUGGUUUUAACCGACCCGUCUUGAAACACGGACC
rnacentral:rRNA from 1 species